rnacentral:rRNA from 1 species
AACCUGGUUGAUCCUGCCAGUAUUAUAUGCUCAAGUCAAGGGCUAAGCCAUGCACGUCUAAGAACGUAGGCUUCAGCCAUCAAUCUGUGGAAGGCUCAUUACACGAGUUAGAAACUCUCUUACCGCGCCAUUCUCAUUGGGAUAACACUGCUAAAUGUAGUGAUAAUACCUAAAGUACGCAUGCUGCAUCAGGCAUGCACCUGAUGUCCACUGCAGCGCAGACACCAUGCGGCGUGAAUGCAGGACAUCACCCAGAGAAGCACUGUCUUCUCAUAGGAACCGUUGAUCAUCAGCGGUCGACUAGUAGUCUUACUUCUCUAUCAGCUUGGCGGUUAGGUAAGGACAAAUCGUGGCAACAACGGAUACGGGGAAUCAGUGUUCGAUUCCGGAGAGGGAGCCUGACAAACGGCUACCACAUCCAAGGACGGCAGCAGGCGCGAAAAUUACCCAAUCAUAACACCUCAUGGAGGUAGCGACAACUAAUAGCGACCUUCUGGAUUCUUCUAGAAGGGUACCACCAUCCGGUGGUUUGCAAUGAGUUCAUCGUAAAUAACUGAGCGAGUAACAAUUGGAGGACAAGUUCGGUGCCAGCACCCGCGGUAAUUCCGACUCCAAGAGUGUACACCUACAUUGCUGCAGUUAAAACGCUCGUAGUCUAUACAAAGACCAAUCACCAUAGGGCACGUGGCCAGCAGCGCGCAUUUGCCUGCUGAUUUCUGUUUGUGGUGGCGGCCCGUGCGAUCUCAUUCACGCGGUGUGUCUGCGCCACUGACAGAACGUCGUGCCACUAUGUGWUUAGGCUUUUUCGAUCGUGAACAAAACAGUGCGAUCAAAGCAGGCACUGUAAUAUCAGCUCGAAUGUACUAGCAUGAAACCGAAUAAAUAAGCUGUUGCCCAUAUGCAUCAGUUGCAUCCAAUAAUAGGAGGCUGAUGUAGGGUACUGGUAUUGCUGGCGCAGAGGUGAAAUUCCGACAUUCUAGCAAGACCGUCAGAAGCGAAAGCUGACACAUCUCUUGCGCCUCCAUUGAUCAGGAACGAAAGUUAGGGGAUCGAAGAUGAUUAGAUACCGUCGUAGUCCUAACCGUAAACUAUACCACCAGGCGGUUGGUGGAACACAACAGAGAUUCUCUCAGAUGCCCAGGGAAACCAAAAGGUUUUGGGUUCUGGGGGGAGUAUAGUCGCAAGGCUGAAACUUAAAGGAAUUGACGGAAAGGCACCACCAGGGGUGGAGUCUGCGGCUUAAUUCGACUCAACACGGGAAAACUCACCAAGUCCAGAUAGUGUAAUGAUUGACAGGUUAAUAGCCCUUUCUUGAUUCUCUAAUAGGUGGUGCAUGGCCGUUCUUAGUUCGUGGAGUGAUCUGUCUAGUUAAUUCUGUUAACGAACGAGACCUUUACCAUUGAUUGAGAAGUUGAUAGCUUGCUUCGGUGAGCACAACUUGUAUAGGUAAUGCGCGGCAUCCUCUGCCACAUACCGCUUCACACGCUACAAUGGGACGAUACUGCGAAUAAAGCGUAAGGAAGGUAGAGGCAAUAACAGGUCUGUGAUGCUCUAAUAUGUCUUGGGCUGCACGCGUACUACAAUGGUGUUACCAACAGGUAAGCACUGGUUGUGGCGGCCGGAUCGACAUUUACUUGUCGCCGCCGGCCCGGCACAUCCUCCAACAUUAYUAAGAUGAAGGUAAUCCCAAAAGUGGCAUCCUGUCUGGAAUAGAAGACUGUAACGUCAACUUGAACAAGGAAUCCCCCGUAAGCGUGAGUCAACAUCUCGCAUUGACUACGUCCCUGCCUUUUGUACACACCGCCCGUCGCUCCUACCGUUGGAGUUGAAGGUGAGUCUGGCGGAUGGCGCCCAGAUGAGCCUACCGUAUCACGGAAAGCUCAGCAUCCAGAAACCAGACAAAUCUUUUUCUCUGUAGGAAGGAGAAGUCGUAACAAGGUUUUCGUAGGUGAACCUGCAGAAGGAUCAAGC